rnacentral:rRNA from 1 species
ACGAACGCUGGCGGCAUGCCUAACACAUGCAAGUCGAACGGGAUCCAGGCUUCGGUCUGGUGAGAGUGGCGGACGGGUGAGUAACACGUGGGAAUAUACCUCUUGGUGGGGAAUAACAUCGGGAAACUGAUGCUAAUACCGCAUACGCCCUUCGGGGGAAAGAUUUAUCGCCGAGAGAUUAGCCCGCGUCCGAUUAGCUAGUUGGUGAGGUAAUGGCUCACCAAGGCGACGAUCGGUAGCUGGUCUGAGAGGAUGAUCAGCCACACUGGGACUGAGACACGGCCCAGACUCCUACGGGAGGCAGCAGUGGGGAAUAUUGGACAAUGGGCGAAAGCCUGAUCCAGCCAUGCCGCGUGAGUGAUGAAGGCCUUAGGGUUGUAAAGCUCUUCCACCCACGACGAUGAUGACGGUAGUGGGAGAAGAAGCCCCGGCUAACUUCGU